AAUGAACGCUGGCGGCAUGCCUUACACAUGCAAGUCGAACGGCAGCAUGACCUAGCUUGCUAGGUUGAUGGCGAGUGGCGAACGGGUGAGUAAUGCAUCGGAACGUUCCUUUUAGUUGGGGAUAACGUAGCGAAAGUUACGCUAAUACCGCAUAUUCUCUGAGGAGGAAAGCAGGUGACCUUCUGUCCUUUCGCUCGAAGAGCGGCCGAUGUCGGAUUAGCUAGUUGGUGAGGUAAAGGCUCACCAAGGCAACGAUCCGUAGCGGGUCUGAGAGGAUGAUCCGACACAGUGGGAGUGAGACACGGCCAAGAAGCCUACGGGAGGAAGCAGAGGGGAAUUGUGGACAAGGGGGGAAAGCAUGAUACAGCAAGGCCGAGUGAGUGAAGAAGGCAUUCGGGUUGUAAAGAUCUUUCGGCUGGGAAGAAAACGCACCCUCUAAAACAGGGUGUGGAUGACGGUACCAGCAGAAGAAGCACCGGCUAACUACGUG
rnacentral:rRNA from 1 species